GCUGAAGGGAGUAGAUAAGAGUGAUUGGGAAUGGUAGGUCAAGGAACAUUUUUUAUCUGAUAAAUUUAAGGAUGCAAGUACAAGAAACUCAGUCAAUAGGUCUAAGUUGUGUAUGCCUCAUCGUAUGGGUAACAAGCCUAUUAGAGAGAUUGUUUACGAAAUGGGAGGCAAAGAUGGUAAUCCACCAAACAUGGAAACUAUUUUCUUUGAGACACGUAAGAAGGGAAAUGAGCUUGUUGAACCUGAAACUGCUGAAAAAUAUGUAUGU